CCUACGUGAGGCAGCAGUGGGUAAUAUUGCACAAUGGGGGAAACCCUGAUGCAGCGACGCCGCGUGAGUGAAGCAGUAUUUCGGUACGUAACGCUCUAUCAGCAGGGAAGAAAAACCGGCCUUAGGGCCGCCAGACGGUACCUGACUAAGACGCCCCGGCUAACUACGUGCCAGCAGCCGCGGGAAUACGUAGGGGGCAAGAGGUAUCCGGAUUUACUGGGGGGAAAGGGAGCGUAGACGGCAGCGCAAGUCUGGAGUGAAAUGCCGGGGCCCAACCCCGGAACUGCUUUGGAAACUGUGCAGCUGGAGUGCAGGAGAGGUAAGCGGAAUUCCUAGUGUAGCGGUGAAAUGCGUAGAUAUUAGGAGGAACACCAGUGGCGAAGGCGGCUUACUGGACUGUAACUGACGUUGAGGCUCGAAAGCGUGGGGAGCAAACAGGAUUAGAUACCCUGGUAGUC
rnacentral:rRNA from 1 species